UCGGGAAUUUUGGGCAAUGGGCGAAAGCCUGACCCAGCAACGCCGCGUGAAGGAUGAAGUAUUUCGGUAUGUAAACUUCGAAAGAAUAGGAAGAAUAAAUGACGGUACUAUUUAUAAGGUCCGGCUAACUACGUGCCAGCAGCCGCGGUAAUACGUAGGGUGCAAGCGUUGUCCGGAUUUAUUGGGUUUAAAGGGUGCGUAGGCGGUUUAUUAAGUCAGUGGUGAAAGACGGUCGCUCAACGAUUGCAGUGCCAUUGAUACUGGUAGACUUGAGUAUGAUUGAGGUAGCUGGAAUGGAUAGUGUAGCGGUGAAAUGCAUAGAUAUUAUCCAGAACACCAAUUGCGUAGGCAAGUUACUAAGUCAUAACUGACGCUGAGGCACGAAAGUGUGGGUAUCAAACAGGAUUAGAUACCCAAGUAGUCCCUGAGCGGGCUGGCAAGGCGCAU
rnacentral:rRNA from 1 species